AGUGAACGCUGGCGGCGUGCCUAAUACAUGCAAGUCGAGCGAACAGAUGAGAAGCUUGCUUCUCUGAUGUUAGCGGCGGACGGGUGAGUAACACGUGGGUAACCUACCUAUAAGACUGGGAUAACUCCGGGAAACCGGGGCUAAUACCGGAUAAUAUUUUGAACCGCAUGGUUCGAUAGUGAAAGACGGUUUCGGCUGUCACUUAUAGAUGGACCCGCGCCGUAUUAGCUAGUUGGUAAGGUAACGGCUUACCAAGGCGACGAUACGUAGCCGACCUGAGAGGGUGAUCGGCCACACUGGAACUGAGACACGGUCCAGACUCCUACGGGAGGCAGCAGUAGGGAAUCUUCCGCAAUGGGCGAAAGCCUGACGGAGCAACGCCGCGUGAGUGAUGAAGGUCUUCGGAUCGUAAAACUCUGUUGUUAGGGAAGAACAAAUUUGUUAGUAACUGAACAAGUCUUGACGGUACCUAACCAGAAAGCCACGGCUAACUACGUGCCAGCCGCCGCCGUAA
rnacentral:rRNA from 1 species